GGGCGAACGGCAACGAUUGGCGGUGUUGCGGCGGACUGUAAAUCCGUUCCCUCGUGGUAAACAUUGGAGGUUCAAUUCCUCUUUCGCCCA
rnacentral:tRNA from 1 species